UGAAGAGAGUAACCAGGAAGACCAAUGC
rnacentral:piRNA from 1 species